rnacentral:tRNA from 1 species
GGAGGCGUGGCUGAGCGGCCGAAAGCAGCUUCCUGCUAAGAAGUUAGGGGAGCAAUCCCCUCGAAGGUUCGAAUCCUUCCGCCUCCGCCA